rnacentral:rRNA from 1 species
AUGCUCAAUGACAGAAUAAAUACAUGUGAUCUUUUGACCAGGAAAGGCAUGCACCUAGACUCCACUAUAUGUGUCCUAUGCAACAAUGAUGACUAUGAAGACAGGACUCAUCUCCUAUUUACUUGUCCUUUUAGUCAAGGUUUUUGGUGGAACAUUGGAUUUGAAUGGAACUCAGAUAUGGAGAUCAACGAUAUGAUUAUUGAUGCUAAACACCGAUACAAAAUUAACCAUUUCAUGGAAAUCAUGAUUCUUGGAUGCUGGAGCAUAUGGAACCAAAGGAAUGGGAUGAUCUUUGAAGGGAUACCAUGUUCAAUAAAUGAUUGCAAGAAUGACUUUGUCAGAUAUUUCAAAAUUACCAUGCAGAGGGCUAAACCCACUCUAAAGGAGGGCAUGUCUUCUUGGAUAGACAAUAUUUAA